CACUCUAAGUUGACUGCCGGUGACAAACCGGAGGAAGGUGGGGAUGACGUCAAAUCAUCAUGCCCCUUAUGAUUUGGGCUACACACGUGCUACAAUGGACAAUACAAAGGGUAGCGAAACCGCGAGGUCAAGCAAAUCCCAUAAAGUUGUUCUCAGUUCGGAUUGUAGUCUGCAACUCGACUAUAUGAAGCUGGAAUCGCUAGUAAUCGUAGAUCAGCAUGCUACGGUGAAUACGUUCCCGGGUCUUGUACACACCGCCCGUCACACCACGAGAGUUUGUAACACCCGAAGCCGGUGGAGUAACCAUUUGGAGCUAGCCGUCGAAGGUGGGACAAAUGAUUGGGGUGAAGUCGUAACAAGGUAGCCGUAUCGGAAGGUGCGGCUGGAUCACCUCCUUUCUAAGGA
rnacentral:rRNA from 1 species